UACGGGGGGAGCAAGCGUUGUUCGGAUUUACUGGGCGUAAAGGGCGCGUAGGCGGUCAGCACAAGUCAGUUGUGAAAUCUCCGGGCUUAACUCGGAAAGGUCAACUGAUACUGUGCGACUAGAGUGCGGAAGGGGCAACUGGAAUUCUCGGUGUAGCGGUGAAAUGCGUAGAUAUCGAGAGGAACACCUGCGGUGAAGGCGGGUUGCUGGGCCGACACUGACGCUGAUGCGCGAAAGCCAGGGGAGCGAACGGG
rnacentral:rRNA from 1 species